rnacentral:rRNA from 1 species
GAUGAACGCUGGCGGCGUGCCUAAUACAUGCAAGUCGAGCGAACAGACGAGGAGCUUGCUCCUCUGACGUUAGCGGCGGACGGGUGAGUAACACGUGGAUAACCUACCUAUAAGACUGGGAUAACUUCGGGAAACCGGAGCUAAUACCGGAUAAUAUAUUCAACCGCAUGGUUCAAUAGUGAAAGACGGUUUUGCUGUCACUUAUAGAUGGAUCCGCGCCGCAUUAGCUAGUUGGUAAGGUAACGGCUUACCAAGGCAACGAUGCGUAGCCGACCUGAGAGGGUGAUCGGCCACACUGGAACUGAGACACGGUCCAGACUCCUACGGGAGGCAGCAGUAGGGAAUAUUCGGCAAUGGGCGAAAGCCUGACGGAGCAACACCGCGUGGGUGAAGAAGGUCUUCGGAUCGUAAAGCUCUGUUAUUAGGGAAGAACAAAAGUGUAAGUAAAUAUGCACGUCUUGACGGUACCUAAUCAGAAAGCAACGGCUAACUACGUG